ACUGGGUGUGGUGGCAUACACCUGUAAUCCCAGCAGUUAGAGAAGUUGAGGCAGGAGGAUCACAAGUUCAAAACCAGCCUCAGUAACAGGGAGGUGCUAAGCAACUCAGUGAGACCCUGUCUCUA
rnacentral:sRNA from 1 species